UAGGGAAUCUUCGGCAAUGGACGGAAGUCUGACCGAGCAACGCCGCGUGAGUGAAGAAGGUUUUCGGAUCGUAAAGCUCUGUUGUAAGAGAAGAACGAGUGUGAGAGUGGAAAGUUCACACUGUGACGGUAUCUUACCAGAAAGGGACGGCUAACUACGUGCCAGCAGCCGCGGUAAUACGUAGGUCCCGAGCGUUAUCCGGAUUUAUUGGGCGUAAAGCGAGCGUAGGCGGUUAGAUAAGUCUGAAGUUAAAGGCUGUGGCUUAACCAUAGUACGCUUUGGAAACUGUUUAACUUGAGUGCAAGAGGGGAGAGUGGAAUUCCAUGUGUAGCGGUGAAAUGCGUAGAUAUAUGGAGGAACACCGGUGGCGAAAGCGGCUCUCUGGCUUGUAACUGACGCUGAGGCUCGAAAGCGUGGGGAGCAAACAGGAUUAGAUACCCUGGUAGUCCACGCCGUAAACGAUGAGUGCUAGGUGUUGGGUCCUUUCCGGGACUCAGUGCCGCAGCUAACGCAUUAAGCACUCCGCCUGGGGAGUACGACCGCAAGGUUG
rnacentral:rRNA from 1 species